UUUAUGGAGAGUUUGAUCCUGGCUCAGGAUGAACGCUGGCGGCGUGCCUAAUACAUGCAAGUCGAGCGAACGGACGAGAAGCUUGCUUCUCUGAUGUUAGCGGCGGACGGGUGAGUAACACGUGGAUAACCUACCUAUAAGACUGGGAUAACUUCGGGAAACCGGAGCUAAUACCGGAUAAUAUUUUGAACCGCAUGGUUCAAAAGUAAAAGACGGUCUUGCUGUCACUUAUAGAUGGAUCCGCGCUGCAUUAGCUAGUUGGUAAGGUAACGGCUUACCAAGGCAACGAUGCAUAGCCGACCUGAGAGGGUGAUCGGCCACACUGGAACUGAGACACGGUCCAGACUCCUACGGGAGGCAGCAGUAGGGAAUCUUCCGCAAU
rnacentral:rRNA from 1 species